AACACAUGCAAGUCGAACGGGCGUAGCAAUACGUCAGUGGCAGACGGGUGGGUAACACGUGGGAACGUACCUCUUGGUUCGGAACAACACAGGGAAACUUGUGCUAAUACCGGAUAAGCCCUUACGGGGAAAGAUUUAUCGCCGAGAGAUCGGCCCGCGUCUGAUUAGCUAGUUGGUAGGGUAAUGGCCUACCAAGGCGACGAUCAGUAGCUGGUCUGAGAGGAUGAUCAGCCACAUUGGGACUGAGACACGGCCCAAACUCCUACGGGAGGCAGCAGUGGGGAAUAUUGGACAAUGGGGGCAACCCUGAUCCAGCCAUGCCGCGUGAGUGAUGAAGGCCCUAGGGUUGUAAAGCUCUUUUGUGCGGGAAGAUAAUGACGGUACCGCAAGAAUAAGCCCCGGCUAACUUCGUGCCAGCAGCCGCGGUAAUAC
rnacentral:rRNA from 1 species